rnacentral:sRNA from 1 species
CAGGGGAUUGCAGUGGCAAAGCUAGGCUAGGUCUUGGAGGCUGGUGUAAGGCGAUGCGGGUGAAGGCAGGAGGCUGAUGGAAAGACUGGGGGGAAGAAAAGCCGAAAUGGAUUCACGGUGCCUUGGAUGAAGGACGAGAGGGGAACUGCAAGCUCCUUCAACUGGUUCUGUCCGGUGAGAAGUGAUCAAGCUUGGGCUGACAAGAGGCUCAGGGAGCCCUCACGUUCUUUCGCUUUUUUACCUGCCAAUCAAACUGCUACAAGACAACACCCUGAUCUGGCAUGGACAUAGUCUUGCUGCGACGCCCAGGCUGCUGGAGUGCAAUGGUGUGAUAUCUGCUCACUGCAACCUUUGAUUCCCAGGUUCAAGAGAUUCUCCUGCCUCAGCCUCCAAGUAGCUGGGACUACAGGCACGCGUCACCACACCCGGCUAAUUUUUGUAUUUUUAGCAGAGACAGGGUUUCACCAUAUUGGCCAGACUGGUCUUGAACUCCUGACCUCAAGUGAUCUGCCCGCCUCGGGCUCCCAAAGUGCUGAGAUCACAGGCGUGAGCCACUGCACCUGGCUUCUUACUCCUUUUAACAACUUGAUGAGUCUCAAUACCUUCACAGAUGUGAAGAACUAGCAACAAAAUGACUUAGACAGCAACGUGAUUCCUAGAGAAUGGCAAGACCAAUUCUUCAACUACUUCUUCAGCAUUUCUGAAACAGUUGGAAGAUGGCCCAUAGUGCUCUCUUAAUUCUUUGAUAAUUUGGACAUUGACCUUUCCAUUAUAU